GAUACAGUGCCCGGUUCUUCUCAGGGUACAAUUAGAGAAUUGACAGGUGCGUUAAAGCCGAAUCAGACGCCUUGCCUGCUUCCAAUAUAAUUAAACUUCACGGGAGAUAACCCCCAAACUGCAGAGUCACCCUGACUUGUUCCGAUUGCCAAAAUAAUAACUCCUUGACUAUUUCCUUGGACUCCCCUCAAGAUGAUUUCAUCCUGAAUAUUUGCCCUGCGGGUGUCUAUAGGUCACGACCUUUCAAAGCUAAGAUCCAGACCCUGGGAUGUGAUCACUCCUACAUUUCUGACUCUGUCUCCCACUUGACUGCCUGGAAUACCUCUGAAGGGGUCUGUAAGGAGGAUGAGUACUAGGCACCAGUAGAUGAAUGUUAAGGUUAAUCGCAGGGAACAUGAGCUACCUCUCUUCAUGAAAAAUGAAAUCUGUGUAAUAAGCGAGACAGCUCCCCUGAGGAAGGACAAGAUGAGGCCCUGUUUCAUCCAUCUGAAUUUUAACUUGCCUGAGGUAUUCCUUCAUACCUGGCAUUUUCCUAGCAUCUGUGACCUACAUCAUCUGUUUACAGCGCUGAAUAAUAUUCUAUUGCCUGGAUGGACCACAGUUUAUCCAUUCACCUACUGAAGAGCAUCCUGUUUGCUUCCAAGUUUUGAAGCGGAUCCAGUUAUGGAAGCCAGUGACUUUGCCUUUUUUGACUUCACCUAUAAUAAAGAGUUCAAGAUACUCCAGAAGAGACCGUUCUUCAAAAACGGCUCCUCAGACGUGUCCCUCCCCGUUAGCUGGCUUGGCUGCCGAUUCAUCAGUGCCCAAUGCCAUCCUACUCCUGAGGGAAGCUCUCUUCCUUCCUCCAACUCUUUCUUUCCAAGCAGAAUAAUCUCACCUGAGA